UUACGGCUAUAUCACGUUGAAACACCGGAUCCCACAUGAACACUGCAGUUAAACAACGUCGAGCCAGGUCAGUACCUGGAUGGGUAAGCCCUUCAGAAUACCAUACGCUGUA